GACGAACGCUGGCGGCGUGCCUAAUACAUGCAAGUAGAACGCUGAAGAGAGGAGCUUGCUCUUCUUGGAUGAGUUGCGAACGGGUGAGUAACGCGUAGGUAACCUGCCUGGUAGCGGGGGAUAACUAUUGGAAACGAUAGCUGAUACCGCAUAAAAUUGAUUAUUGCAUGAUAAUUAAUUGAAAGAUGCAACUGCAUCACUACCAGAUGGACCUACGUUGUAUUAGCUAGUUGGUGAGGUAACGGCUCACCAAGGCGACGAUACAUAGCCGACCUGAGAGGGUGAUCGGCCACACUGGGACUGAGACACGGCCCAGACUCCUACGGGAGGCAGCAGUAGGGAAUCUUCGGCAAUGGGGGGAACCCUGACCGAGCAACGCCGCGUGAGUGAAGAAGGUUUUCGGAUCGUAAAGCUCUGUUGUAAGAGAAGAACGGGUGUGAGAGUGGAAAGUUCACACUGUGACGGUAUCUUACCAGAAAGGGACGGCUAACUACGUG
rnacentral:rRNA from 1 species